rnacentral:tRNA from 1 species
GCAGAUGAAGUGUUACGGUAGCACAGAAGACUUCCAAUCUUCGAGCGUGGGUUCGACUCCCAUCAUCUGCA